GACGAACGCUGGCGGCGUGCUUAACACAUGCAAGUCGAACGGAAAGGCCCUGCUUUUGUGGGGUGCUCGAGUGGCGAACGGGUGAGUAACACGUGAGUAACCUGCCCUUGACUUUGGGAUAACUUCAGGAAACUGGGGCUAAUACCGGAUAGGAGCUCCUGCUGCAUGGUGGGUGUUGGAAAGUUUCGGCGGUUGGGGAUGGACUCGCGGCUUAUCAGCUUGUUGGUGGGGUAGUGGCUUACCAAGGCUUUGACGGGUAGCCGGCCUGAGAGGGUGACCGGCCACAUUGGGACUGAGAUACGGCCCAGACUCCUACGGGAGGCAGCAGUGGGGAAUAUUGCACAAUGGGCGGAAGCCUGAUGCAACAACGCCGCGUGCGGGAUGACGGCCUUCGGGUUGUAAACCGCUUUCGCCUGUGACGAAGCGUGAGUGACGGUAAUGGGUAAAGAAGCACCGGCUAACUACGUG
rnacentral:rRNA from 1 species